UACGGAGGGUGCAAGCGUUAUCCGGAUUCACUGGGUUUAAAGGGUGCGUAGGCGGAAUGAUAAGUCAGUGGUGAAAUCUCGGAGCUUAACUCCGAAACUGCCAUUGAUACUGUCAAUCUUGAGUACAUUUGAUGUGGGCGGAAUGUGUCAUGUAGCGGUGAAAUGCUUAGAUAUGACACAGAACACCGAUUGCGAAGGCAGCUCACAAAACUGUAACUGACGCUGAGGCACG
rnacentral:rRNA from 1 species